GGUCCCGUGGUCCAAUGGAUAGGACGAUGGCCUCCGAAGCCGUAGGUGGUGGUUCGAUUCCACCCGGGACCACCA
rnacentral:tRNA from 2 species